GAUGAAGAACGCAGCAAAAUGCGAUAAGUAAUGUGAAUUGCAGAAUUCAGUGAAUCAUCGAAUCUUUGAACGCACAUUGCGCCCGCUGGUAUUCCGGCGGGCAUGCCUGUUCGAGCGUCAUUUCAACCCUCAAGCCCCUGGGUUUGGUGUUGGGGAUCGGCUCUGCCCUUCUGGGCGGUGCCGCCCCCGAAAUACAUUGGCGGUCUCGCUGCAGCCUCCAUUGCGUAGUAGCUAACACCUCGCAACUGGAACGCGGCGCGGCCAUGCCGUAAAACCCCAACUUCUGAAUGUUGACCUCGGAUCAGGUAGGAAUACCCGCUGAACUUAAGCAUAUCAAUAAGCGGAGGA
rnacentral:misc_RNA from 1 species